rnacentral:tRNA from 1 species
GGAAGGGUUGCUCAGUGGAAGAGCACCGUGGUGCACACUGUCAUCGCGGGGGCCAGUUGGCCUCGUGGCGUUCGAAUCCCACCCCUUCCG